UCUCACUGUCACAUGAUCUGUGGGUGAAAUGGCAUGUGUUAUUUAUGUACAGACUAUUAUGAUAACAAUAUGUCUAGAUUAUUAUGAGUAGGUUAAUGGUGAAAGAAAUCGCGCUAGAAAACUUUUCGAAUAGUGACUUCAAAAGUUUAGGUUAGGCCAGUUUUAGACGGAAUCUUAGCGAAGUGAGCUCUAGAGUCAUCAGGGAAUGUGUGGGAUGAUAUGUCUAGGGUGGGUUAUAUUUUCUAGUAGUCAAGACAUUAAGGAACCCGUAGUCAUUUAUGGAAUCAAAUUUGAGUGAGUAAAACUUCCGAAAUCAAACUUGGUCUAAAGGGGAUAGUUUGGGACGUCAAGAGAAGAAUAUAUAUUCUGAAAAAGGGGUUCUCAAGGGUUUCCAAGUCUCUACAGUUCGUGUAAUCUGCUAUAGUGGAUGACAUCCCACUAUAGUGAGCGCGUGCAGGCGCUAUAGCGGGACUACAAUAACUAUAGGGUGGUCGUUAUAACGAGUCGAGUCACUAUAGUAGGAUAAGUCGGGAUUUUAUGCAGAAAAAGUCUCAAGACCUCCUAUUUUUUGUAACAUUGUUCUUGGGUUUUAGGGAGCGAAUUAGGGCAGUUUCUAUUUAAUUUUCCACCAAGUUCAUCGAUAAAGGUAAGUUCACUACUCCCCCGUCUUUCAAAUUGAUUCUUAAGCCUUAUAAUCUAAGAUAUUACUCUUGGGGAGGGUUUUGACUUGAUUUAAUGAUGGAAAAAGCUCUGGAUUGGAUAGAAUGAUCAUGAAUUGGCGUGGGGUAGAGUUUAGUAUAAUUCUGAUAUAUUUAGAUCAUUUUAGAUUGAUUGCUACAUGCAUUUAUUAUUUUAGACCAAUAACAAGGCAAGGCAUUGAACAAGGGGAAAGUUCGGGUUCUUUAGAGUUUCUACGAGGCUAUUCGAGGUAAGUGAUGGCUGUAUGUUUUUUAAUGUAUUCAUGUCUACUGCUUUAUAGUAUGCAUGAUGGGGAAAACAUAUGGAAAAAAUUAAAAUGACACAGUGUUUAUAAUCUCAUGCAAUGAACCUAUUUACUUUACUUGUGAUUUCAACUGUUAUUGUUCAUUGUGAUUGUGAUUGUGCAUGUAUGUUGUUUGUAAUUGUUGGUUGGCUUGGGUACCACCCCAGUACAAGAAUACUAACGGUUGGUUUGAAUAUCACGCCUCAUAUGAAUACAAAUAUUGAUUAGCUCGGAUCGAUACACUAACAGUUUGUGUGUGGGUUCCUUGAAAGGAUUAGGUAUGUUAAUUGUGGUUCCAUGAGAAGAUGGGUAUUUAUAAUUAUGAUCAUGUGGGACAUGUUACCGGUAUUGAUUGAUUCAUGAUAUUGUGAUUGGAAGUCUAUGCGUAUUCGUGAUUGUAAUUAUAUGUGUUGGUCAGUGUUUACUAUGUUGUAGUUGUAUGUUUACAUUCAUAAUGUGGAAUUGGUCAUGUGAUUUUAUCAUUACACUGUGAUUGUGGUUGAUAAUGCACUCACUCUUUCCUUGCUAAGUACAGAGUAUAUUCAGGCAGCAGAUACGAGACCUCAAUUGAAGGAAAUUUGACCUUUCGAAUCCAAGGACGAGUUACUCUUCCAGGUUGUGUUGAGUUCUUCUAUCGUUUUCUUAUUCAUCUCUUCGGACAUAAACUUUUGUACAAUUCGUUAUGUUAUCUAGUUUUCGGGGUUGCAUCCCCAUAAUUGAUUAAUUGGAGUUUUGUUAUCACAACUUUAUGUUUUAGGGGCUUUAUUUUGCAC
rnacentral:lncRNA from 1 species